UACGUAGGGUGCGAGCGUUGUCCGGAAUUAUUGGGCGUAAAGGGCUCGUAGGCGGUUUGUCGAGUCGGGUGUGAAAACUCAGGGCUUAACCCUGAGCCUGCUUCCGAUACGGGCAGACUAGAGGUAUGCAGGGGAGAACGGAAUUCCUGGUGUAGCGGUGAAAUGCGCAGAUAUCAGGAGGAACACCGGUGGCGAAGGCGGUUCUCUGGGCAGUACCUGACGCUGAGGAGCGAAAGUGUGGGGAGCGAACAGG
rnacentral:rRNA from 1 species